UGGGAUGCAACACGUUGCCAUCUGGGCCGUUUAGCCCCUCACCUCCGAGAAUAUCAAUCACAUAUAUUCCGGGGGAAAAUGUAAUGACUCUCGGAACAGGAAGAUGAAUCGCCUGCUACGAUUUAUAUGCCUUGACCUGAUGCUAUGUAACAAUAAAAUGGGAAAUGGAUCUCACCGGGUUUUGUUGUUUUGUUUUUAAUCCAGUGAGCGUGUGACCAAACGGGGCUAGGCUUCAGCUAGGAUAAACAUCUCUUUGCAUUUAUAGGAUCCUGACAGCUGUCACAUCUGCCCGACGCUGAGGCGUGACCCGGCCUGCUCUCUCCGAAUGACAAGGGACGGUGCAGGCUCCGCUGUCCUCACUACAACAAGUGACUGUAGCUACAAAAAGUCCCAACGCCAGUGUGAAAUAUUCUGAUUUUGAGCAAAACUAUCUUGAUCUGCACUGCAUAUUUCUUUUAGGGACUAGGAAUAGGGACAGGGGGGAGCAGCAUAUAAAGACUAAGCUUUAGACUACUUCAGAAAAAUAAUUGGGGGUAAAAUUAAUUGCCUUUUAGCAGUUUCCAACAUGUUUUAUAUUUUCAACCAUAAGUUCAGUUGUUUGACUUUUUAUGAACUAAGACUUUUUGACAUAAGAAGGCCUAUUAAUUCCCCCCCCCCACACACACACACAUUUACAGAAAUUUGAAUGUGCAGAAAACUAACUGUUCUUAAGGAAACAGGUCUUUGAUCCAGCCUGGCUUUCAUUGAACUGGUACCUUGUCCUACUGAAGCAGUCUAGGGUUAUUCAUAGAAUUAUCUUCCUGUCAUGGGUCCCACUGAAUGAAGAAAGAGUUGUGCUAUUGACAUCAGUAGGCAUAGGAGAAGGUGACAUGUAUAAAAUGUUUCUCACAUGUAUGAGAUAAAAGGCUUUCUUGAAAUUAUUUUAAAACUAUUGACUUAAAAGGCCUCAGAAUCCUAAGCUGCAUUUUUAUUUGUAUAUGUGAUAGUAUAAUAAAAAACAUAACUAAA